GUUUUACUCAUUGAUGAAGAACGUACGUUGACCUAUAGUUGUUAAUUUCUGAGUCAUUUUAGUCUCUUGUGGAGAGUUGUGUCAUUGACAAUCAUACCACAUCUUCUUAUUUUUAUAUUAUGAAAGAUUCUCAAGUCAUGAAAAGAAGAAGAAAAAAAAAUCGAAUAAGGAUUGAAGUGACACUCGAUAUCUCUCUCUCCCGGAGUAAAAGUGAUAACAAGAAAUGUUUCACUUGUCUGACAUAACGUCGGCACAUAUCCUUUGAAAAAUGUUAUAAUGUUUGUCUGUGCACUAUUAUAUUAUUAAUCUACGGUAUAUUUUAUCAGAUCAGUUGAUCAGAUUAAGAUAAUAUUUAUUGUGUUUGGAUUGCAACUGCAAUAAAACAGGAUUAUCUUUCUUGAUUUGCGAGUUUUGAAUUCUGAAUUAUGAAUG
rnacentral:lncRNA from 1 species